rnacentral:sRNA from 1 species
UGAAGAAGAAGCUAAAUUUGGUGCCAGACGCUUAGCCCGUAGUCUGCAGAAACUAGGUUUUCAGAAUUCACAAAGAACAAUAGACCUCAUGCCAGGGCCCAAUGUAAAGGCUGUUGCUACUGCUGUGGAACAGAUUUACCCAUUUGUGUUUGAAAGCAGGAAAGAAAUUUUAUAAUUCACCACUUAAUUGGUUAGAAUCUCUAACUGAGCACCUUUUAAACCUGCUGCACAUUGGACUCAAAAGGAAAACUGGACCAACAGUAAUUGAGGAAAUAGACUCUUUUAUUCAUUCACGGCUACAGUGUAAGCUCCAGUCCCUUUGGAUUUUAUUCCAAACCUUGCUGUAAUAUAAAAGGAAGUUUACAAGACAUGAUAUUGCUGCUUUUACAAAAGGACAUUCUAUUUAUUUUCGCAGUAAUUCUCAUGUCCCCAUAAGCAGAGCUGUCACAGUGUGCACUACCUUAGAUUGUUUUAUUGUCGUCAUUGUUAUUUUUUUCCAUUUUGAGCUAAUGUGUUUUAUUUGUGAAUAGUCUUUUACAUUUUUGUAUGCUGAAUAUGGGCACCAAAGAACCUGUAAAAGUUAUCUUUUUCAAUUGAAUGUGCACAAAUAAAAGUUUGGAAAAGAUCUCUCUUC